ensembl:lncRNA
GUUAUUGCGAAGCUCGCCGCUCACAAUGGUGGAGAGAAAAGUUGAUUCUGAAAGCAGAGCCUUUCAGCACCAGUGGGAGGCUGAAUAUAUGUUUACAGACAUGCUGGUAAAGCCGUGCGUCUUAUUAGUGGAGCUAAUGUGGCUGUAAGGAAUUUAGUUUAAGACGGCGAGACAAAACGUCAGGAUAAGCUGAAAAACCUAAACGCAGAAACUACAGGAAGUAGAAUCUAACAUUUCAGCAGACGUUUGUCAUCAGAGCAAAACCACAAAGUGAAGCUGUUGUGAAAGCAAGUUUUAUCGUAGCAGAGGAGCCAAAUGAGCCCGGUACCACUCUGAAGAGCUGCAGGAUGAAGCUGUGUGACGUCUUCCGUCCAGACAAAACGCAGAUUUAGGCAAAUGUGAGCCUGAGCAGAAAUACGAUUGCUGAUCGGGUUUGUGAGACAGCCACCGAUUUAAGAACACAGUUGUGUGAAAGAAGCAAAAACUUCACUCCAUACUCUCUUGCUGUGGAUGAAAGUAGACAUGAUGGACACUGCACAGCUGGCCAGCUUCAUCCGUGGAGAGGAAAUAUUGAACAUUAAAUCGAUGCACGGGACAACGACAGGAAAAUACAUUUUUUAAAACGUAUGUCAAAGUGUAACGACGUGAAACUGUCCUGGGACAAACUUGUUGGACUUACAACAGAUGGAGCGCCGGUGCUGUGCGGUGAAAAAAGUAGUCAGCAGGAUGCGAGUAAAGAUGCAGGAGAAAUGUACCGGUGAGUUAUCAGCAUAUCACCGCAUCACACACCAGGAAAGGCUGUGUGGUCCUAAAAAUGGAGCAUGUAAUGGUCACCGUGACACAGACCGUACAUUUUAUCUGAGCUAAAAGUUUAAGUCACCGUCAGUUUCAGUCUUUUAUGUGGGAAAUAGAUUCAGAGUUUGCCCACAUUCCUUCAUGCAGAGCUCCGCUGGCUGAGUCGGGAUAAAAGUUCUCAAUAGAGUUUUUGAGCUCAGCAAGGAAACCUGUCAGUUCAUGGACAUGUAUGAUACGGUGAAGGCGUUUCAAGCUGUCACUAAUGCACCAGUGCAGCCUGCCUCACUUCCCCUGUUGCCAAGUAAUGUUGAACCAAGUCAGCGCACUUUGCUGAGCUGCACCUGUGCAGAUUCAGAUGCAGCUGCAGUGUAAUGAUGCACUCAGGGAAAGCACGACACUUGACCGCACAGUUUAUUAGCUCCACUCCUGCAGCAACGCCCAGCUCCGUCUACAUGCGGCUCCAACCUUGUGUUUGCUUUCAUUUACUUUUUCUGGGGUUUUUGGCAGCAUGUUCAUAAUUCUAACUUGCAUAAUUUUGACAGGAUAUUUAAAGUUGUUUUUUUUAAGUUUAUUUGAUCUGGAAUUAUAUUCCUGUCUGUUUUUAUUCAUAUUUAUGUAAAAAAAAAAACAGUUUUAGUGUGUUCAAUAAAUGUUUAUCUUGUUUGGCCCCCGACCUAAAGUGUGCCUUGAGUUUGACGCCCCUGGCAUAGAUCAUCGUGAUGUUGUUUAUUUUGUUGCUCUUUGUUUCCUUCUGCUUGUUUUCUCUUUUUUCUUUCUCAACAGGUGUUUUUUCUAAAAUAAAUAAAUAAAUAAAUAAAAUAAAAUAAAAUAAAAAGAAGUGUUUAAUAGAGUUUGGGAGGGAGGGAAGUUGCCACAAAGCUGGAAGGAGGCAGUGAUAAUAUCGAUACGUAAACCAGGGAAGGACAAAGCCUGGAAACUACAGACCAGCAGCUUUAACAUCCAACGUCUGCAAAAUAAUGGAGAGAAUGAUGACAGGGCAAAAAAGGACUCCAAAUUAAAAAAAAGAUAAAAAUGAAAGACUGGUGCAUUGUGCAGUUUAGCACUGGUGGUACAGAAAUAGUCCCUAGAUCAUGGAUAAAUGGGGAGAAAUUGUCAUGGCCUCCAUAUCCUCCGUGAGACACAUUCAGGAUCCACGACGCAGUAAAGAGGAGAGUUCAUCCUGGUGCAACAUGGCUCACCUAUGCACCAGUCCGACUUCUAAUAAGCCAUGACACAUUUCACGAAGCAGAACGCAGUCUUCAGAAAUAUCUAAGUGAACACUGUGAUAUGUCUGACCUUCAGUCCGAAGCUGAAACUCAGACCAGUCAUAAGAGAAAGCACAAACCAAAUCCCCUGUACACAUAGUGACUCAGAGGAUGAGCAGCCCACAAAAAAAUGGUUUCCCCAGGCCCCUCGAGUGAAAGUACCAGACCUGACGAGAGCUGUUAACGAACUCCGUGAGGAGGUCAGAGCCAUCCGCAAUACCGGCUGCAAUGAAUCGGUAGAUGCUGGGGUACUGCCUCUGGAUUUGCCUUUGCACAACAUUGAGGAGCUAAACAAUGCAGAGCCAGCUCUUCAAUCACAAGAGGCAAAUAAGGCAAUGGUGAGACGCUUUGCCUUGAUUGGAGCCUGACGCAGCAGUUAGGGGCAAACUCUAUGUCCGAGUUUGUCUUUGCACAAGCAGUGCAGAAAUGGCUCCGAUACGCCCCAGAUCGUUUGGGUGGUGCAGGACGCACAUCAUGCAAAAAAUUACAAACUUCUGUGAAUCAUAUAAACGUCUCCACUUCAUCAGACAUCACCUAGACUCAGAGCUGGAUGAGGCCAGCACAGACAGCGGCCUAACCGACGAAGAUGAUGGAUCCAUGGUGUCAGGAAAGCCAGAAGCAGGGGAGCUGGAGAGGUACCUUUCAUGUCCAUUCACUGGAGGUGUGGAUCUAUUGCAUGGCGUUCCUCACAUCAAGAAGCUGUUGAUCAAAGUCAAUACAGCUCUUCAUGCAUCUGGAGCUUGUGAAGGACUUCUCAGUCAUGCUGGACUCCUGUUCACUGUUGCUGAAGCUUAACCAUCACCUCACUGAGUGAAGAAAGGGCACAUUUUUGCUAAAUAUGCAGAAAUAGAUGCACACUUAUACAAUUUAUGGUAAACUGAGCUGCCUUGUAUGUACAUAUGAUGAAGAUGCCUCGUUCUGUUUUCUCUGAGGCUGCUGUGCCAUUUGGAGCAAAGACGAAUAUAAAGUUUACAGCAUAUCUUGUCACUGGAAAUUGUUUGCACUGUUUAUAUAUUUAUAUUAUUUACUGCAGGUAUUGGUGAAAAAAGCUUUAUGUUGUGAAAAACUGAAAUCUGGAAAUUAGAAUCAUUGUGCCUUAUUUUGUUGAUGUUUUUACAUAUAUUCCUGUUGAAAAUAGUAAAAUUUGUAUAUUUAUUUAUUUUUGUUUGUCUGGUAACAUUUAUUGAAAAAAUAAAUCGGACAUUUCAAAC